GAUGAAGAACGUAGCGAAAUGCGAUAAGUAAUGUGAAUUGCAGAAUUCAGUGAAUCAUCGAAUUUUUGAACGCACAUUGCGCCCGCCAGUAUUCUGGCGGGCAUGCCUGUUCGAGCGUCAUUUCAACCAUCAAGCCCCCGGCUUGUGUUGGGGACCUGCGGCUGCCGCAGGCCCUGAAAACCAGUGGCGGGCUCGCUAGUCACUCCGAGCGUAGUAAUACAUCUCGCUCAGGGCGUGCUGCGGGUUCCGGCCGUUAAAAGCCUUAUUUACCCAAGGUUGACCUCGGAUCAGGUAGGAAGACCCGCUGAACUUAAGCAUAUCAAUAAGCGGAGGA
rnacentral:misc_RNA from 1 species